AAAGUCGUAACAAGGUAACCGUAGGUGAACCUGCGGUUGGAUCAUUAUCACGUUCCACACGUUAUCAACCAACGCGAAAAACCCUUUUUUUUCUUGUCCUCGGACUCGAUUUUUUUAUCAAAUCAAUUUUUGCAAUGCAUUCAGUUGCGUUGCAGAGAGAGGUUGGAUUAACAAAACUUGAUUUACUAUCAACACCCUUUUUAUAUUUAUGUACUGAACUUGUUUCUUUCUCAUUCAUUUAUUUGAAAGAGAAGAAAUAAAAUUUUACGAAACAAAGAACAACUCUUAGCAACGGAUAUCUUGGUUCUC
rnacentral:misc_RNA from 1 species